UUGCCAAUAAUUUUCUAUUAUCUUCAAAUAACAACAGGCUGGAGUAUGAACCUAGUUUAUCAAUACAUUUUUUAAAAACCGACAUUCCUUUCUUAAGGAGUCCAUCCAUUCACCCAUUUUUAAAAAAAUUGUUCCAGGAAGAGGAAUGAAGUUUAUUCCUUUGAAUUCUAGUCUGCAUCCCGGCUUUUAGAACAGGGGAUGCAGAACCAGUUGGUUUGCCCCAGGCCAAGUCCUGAGUCUCCAGCGAUUCAAGCAAUUAACCAGUCACCUGGCCUUUUUGCAGAAAUACACAAAACGUGUAGACUCGCUUAAUUCCAUCUCCUCCUGGCCUCUUCACAUGGAAAUUGGCUGCUCAGGCGAAUGUUGUUUUUCACCGCAGCCAUGUGUCGAAGGGCGAUUAACAUUCGCUGGACAAAACCCCGUCCCGGGCCAUUUGGGGGUUGCACGCGUUCACACCCGGGGCUCAGCCCUGUGCGCCCUUCACGCGCAGCCUUUUUGUUUACGCGGCUAGCAGGGGAGAGGGGCGGAGAGGCAGCGAACCUCUCAAUGUGCAGCAGGCCUCCAGGACUAUAUAAAGCUCGGGUCUCGGACCUACUGGAACUGGCCAAGGUUGCCCGCGAGCUGGCAGCGGCCUUCCGCCCAGCUCUGCGGCGUCAUGGAGACAGCAGGAGGCGCGGAGGGCACGGCCACCGACGGCCCCACGCGGCGCGCGGGCGCGGACUCCGGACACGCAGGCUUCUGGAGACCCUGGGUGGACGGUGGAGGCAAGAAAGAAGCGGACACGCCGAACCACGCCGCGGAGGCGAUGCCCGAUGGCCCUGGAAUGACCGCAGCCUCAGGAAAGCUUUCCCAAUUCAGGCACCCAGUCAGUGAAGCAUACUGAACAUAAUGUAAUCUUCCAUUUGUUGGAAUGACUCCAUUGUAUGGCUACAUGGGCUGUUUACCCUACACUAAAAUGACUGCACUGUACUUGGUGAUUCAGCCUUAUCUCUCCUCUUUCUUUUGCUUGAUGAAGACCAGAAGGCAAGAUUAGUAUUUGUCAGAUUUUUGAAAUUCUGAGACUAUUUUGGCCAAAAUCAAAAUGUUAUGAUUACUUAUAUCAAGAAGCAGAAGCUCUUCUGAAAAAUUUUCCAAUUCAAGCCACAA